AUUUCAGUGAUGUUUGCUGAUGAAGUAUCUCAGAGGUUCCUGGCUAAGUGGUCAACUGUCUUCAAAGCAAAAGUCAUUGCAGACUGCAAGACUCUCCCGCAGAAGCAGAACAUUGAUGAGUUGCUGUCAGGAACUGAACCUCAACCUGAUGACAACUGUGGCUGGGACAGUGAUACAUCCUCCAUCCUUCUACUCCUGAUCUGCUCCCUCCGACUUCUAAAGGCCAGAAAAAAACAGCAAUGAUCAGUUUGUCAAGCAGCCAACCAUCUUCUCAGACAUCUUAAGGAAGGAGCCAGUGUGACCCCCUUCCAAGACUGUUGACACAAGACAACCAUUUCUCCUCUGCAUCAGUGAGCGAAGGUGACAUCCAGAGGUUCUACAUUAUUAUUGACCAAAAGCCGGUUCCAUGCAAGGCACAUACAUUUAUUGCAGCUUUUGAUGAACUGUUCAAAGCUCAUUAUGUCUUCAGUCUCUCGUAUGGUUAAAAGUGGAUAAGAGCAAACAUUUGGGUCUGAAUGCUGCCCAGUCAUGGUGUCUUCUAUGUAACACUCCACUUAUAGUUGGUGAUGUCAUUGAAAGGAAUAAUGAUCACUGGAACUUCCUCCUCCUUUUGAUGCAGAUUGUCAAUAUAGUGUUCUCCUACAGCAUAACUGAUGGAAUGAUCCUUUACUUGAAACAUCUGAUAAGUGACCACCACAAUCGGUUCAAAGCAUUGCUGCCUGGUAAGAAGUAGGAAGCACCGCUUGAUGAUACACUAUCCAAGAUGCAUACAAAAAAUUGGACCUCUUAUCCAUACGUGGUGCAUGAGUUUUGAAGCCAAACACCAUUUUUUCAAAAGGUGUGGUUAAAAAUUAUAAAAAUCUCAGUCGUUUGUCAUGGCCUUUCACUAUGAAAAUUAUUAUUUUAGAAGAUUUGCAUUU